rnacentral:rRNA from 1 species
GAUCCUGGCUCAGGGCGAACGCUGGCGGCGUGCUUAACACAUGCAAGUCGAACGGAGCACCCUUGACUGAGGUUUCGGCCAAAUGAUAGGAAUGCUUAGUGGCGGACUGGUGAGUAACGCGUGAGGAACCUGCCUUCCAGAGGGGGACAACAGUUGGAAACGACUGCUAAUACCGCGUGACGCAUGACCGGGGCAUCCCGGGCAUGUUAAAGAUUUUAUCGCUGGAAGAUGGCCUCGCGU